GGGACGAACGCUGGCGGCGUGCUUAACACAUGCAAGUCGAGCGGAAAGGCCCUUCGGGGUACUCGAGCGGCGAACGGGUGAGUAACACGUGAGCAACCUGCCCUUAGCUCCGGGAUAGCUCCGGGAAACCGGAAUUAAUACCGGAUACGACCACGGCCGACAUCUGCUGUGGUGGAAAGGAUUCCGGCUAAGGAUGGGCUCGCGGCCUAUCAGCUAGUUGGUGGAGUAACGGCCACCAAGGCGACGACGGGUA
rnacentral:rRNA from 1 species